UACAGGGGGGGCAAGCGUUGUUCGGAAUUACUGGGCGUAAAGGGCUCGUAGGCGGCCAACUAAGUCACACGUGAAAUCCCCAGGCUUAACCUGGGAACUGCGUGUGAUACUGGAUGGCUUGAAUUCGGGAGAGGGAUGCAGAAUUCCAGGUGUAGCGGUGAAAUGCGUAGAUAUCUGGAGGAAUACCGGUGGCGAAGGCGGCAUCCUGGACCGACAUUGACGCUGAGGAGCGAAAGUGUGGGGAUCAAACAGG
rnacentral:rRNA from 1 species